GUUGAAGAGGUAAAAUAAAGCUAUUUAAAUGAACGAAUUAACCUUUGUCAAGUGAGAGCUCCAUGGAGAAGCUGUUGCGCACGCUGUUGUUGCGCACGCGAACCCAGGCAAAGAAGGGAGGGCAGAGCGAGCCAUGGUGAGCCAAUAAAAAGGCACCGGAGUCCUGCUAACCGUCGGCUUUGCUCGAGACAGUGUAAAACGGGACCAAUAUUUCUGUCGGACGCGUACUGUCUUCGAGUGUGCAAAGGACACACCAUCUCAUUGACUGCGCCUGUCCCUACAUAGGAAGACGAAGACAUGCUGUUGCUCGUAGGGAACGUUUCAGGACUGGUGGCCAGUAAGACCGGAGACAUAUGAGCUGGGGGACCAGGAUCAUUGAUAGCCACCUACCCCUGGAAGGUAUCACGAAUGAUGACCAUUUUAGACAGUUCAGAUGGGGGACCGUUCCAAUCCUUAUUUGAGGUAGAUGAGCACCAUAGCUUGGAGAGGAGAAGACAGGAUGAAGGUGAGCCCGCUACAGGAUGAAGCUGAGCCCGCUACAGGAUGAAGGUGAGCCCGCUACAGGAUGAAGGUGAGCCCGCUACAGGAUGAAGCUGAGCCCGCUACAGGAUGAAGGCCAACCAGGAGGGAAAAUUGUGUCUCUAACUCGGCCCAGAUGACAAAGACAAGGCUGAGCAUGCAUCAGAAACUGGCCAUGGAGUGCAAACGAAUGUAUUUAAAGGAAGUGUAUGUUGAGC
ensembl:lncRNA